GACGAACGCUGGCGGCGUGCUUAACACAUGCAAGUCGAACGGAAAGACCCUGCUUUUGUGGGGUGCUCGAGUGGCGAACGGGUGAGUAACACGUGAGUAACCUGCCCUUGACUUUGGGAUAACUUCAGGAAACUGGGGCUAAUACCGGAUAGGAGCUCCUGCUGCAUGGUGGGGGUUGGAAAGUUUCGGCGGUUGGGGAUGGACUCGCGGCUUAUCAGCUUGUUGGUGGGGUAGGGGCUUACCAAGGCUUUGACGGGUAGCCGGCCUGAGAGGGUGACCGGCCACAUUGGGCCUGCGAUACGGCCCAGACUCCUACGGGAGGCAACAGUGGAGAAUAUUACGCAGUGGGCGGAAGCCAGAUGCAACAACGCCGCGUGCGGGAUGACGGCCUUCGGGUUGUAAACCGCUUUCGCCUGUGACGAAGCGUGAGUGACGGUAAUGGGUAAAGAAGCACCGGCUAACUACGUG
rnacentral:rRNA from 1 species